UCAAGCGCGAGAAGGGCGUUUGGUGGAUGCCUUGGCAGUAAGAGGCGAUGAAGGACGUGAUACUCUGCGAUAAGCUUUGGGAAGUCGAGAAUAGACGCUAUACCCAAAGAUCUCCGAAUGGGGCAACCCAACUGAUACUUUGUUAUUGUUACACUUUGUGUAAUCAAUAAUGGGGUAAAACAGUUAUUAAUUACCUGAAUACAUAGGGUUUUUAAAGCAAACCUGGGGAACUGAAACAUCUAAGUACCCAGAGGAAAGGAAAUCAAUAGAUACUCCCGUAGUAGUGGCGAGCGAACCGGGACCAGCCGAGCAAUGAAUGUGACUAGAACCAGUUGGAAAGCUGGGCGAUAUGGGUGACAGCCCCGUAUAGGAAGCAUGAUUUGACGUAUUAAGUAGGGCGGAACACGUGAAAUUCUGUCUGAACAUGGGGGGACCACCCUCUAAGGCUAAGUACUCCUUACUGACCGAUAGCGAACCAGUACCGUGAGGGAAAGGUGAAAAGCACCCCGACGAGGGGAGUGAAACAGUUUCUGAAACCGGACGCCUACAAACAGUUGGAGCCUCUUUAUGGGGUGACAGCGUACCUUUUGUAUAAUGGGUCAACGACUUGGUCUUACUAGCAAGCUUAAGCCGAUAGGUGUAGGCGCAGCGAAAGCGAGUCUUAAUAGGGCGAAUGAGUUAGUAGGAUCAGACCCGAAACCGAGUGAUCUAGGCAUGAGCAGGUUGAAGGUAAGGUAACACUUACUGGAGGACCGAACCCACAUCUGUUGAAAAAGAUCGGGAUGACUUGUGCCUAGGGGUGAAAGGCCAAUCAAACUCGGAGAUAGCUGGUUCUCCGCGAAAUCUAUUUAGGUAGAGCGUCGCACGAAUACCUUGGGGGGUAGAGCACUGAAUGGGUAAUGGGGACUCACCGUCUUACUGAUCCUAAUCAAACUCCGAAUACCCAAGAGUAAUAUGCGGCAGACACACUGCGGAUGCUAACGUCCGUAGUGGAGAGGGAAACAACCCUGACCCUCAGCUAAGGCCCCUAAUUCAUGGCUAAGUGGGAAAGCAGGUGGGACGACCAAAACAACCAGGAAGUUGGCUUAGAAGCAGCCAUCUUUUAAAGAUAGCGUAACAGCUCACUGGUCUAAUUUAAGUUAUCCUGCGGCGAAGAUGUACCGGGGCUCAAGCCAUGAGCCGAAGCUAGGGAUGCAAUUUAUUGCAUGGUAGCGGAGCGUUCUGUGAUAUAGAACGCUGCGUCUUUAGUAUCUUAGGAUAUUUUGGACGCAAUGUUCUGACUGUGAAGCCGGCGCGUAAGCGAUCCGGUGGAGUGAUCAGAAGUGAGAAUGUUGACAUGAGUAGCGACAAACAGGGUGAGAGACCCUGUCGCCGAAAGUCCAAGGGUUCCUGCUUAAAGCUAAUCUGAGCAGGGUAAGCCGACCCCUAAGGCGAGGCCGAAAGGCGUAGUCGAUGGGAACCAGUUUAAUAUUACUGGGCCAGGAGAUGGUGACGGAUCGAAAGCGUAGUGACUCCUUAUCGGAUUGAAGUUGCUGCCGGACGGUUCCUGGAAAUAGCCCUCCAUUAGAUCGUACCCUAAACCAACACAGGUGGACUGGUAGAGAAUACCAAGGCGCUUGAGAGAACUACAUUGAAGGAACUCGGCAAAAUGCCUCCGUAAGUUCGCGAGAAGGAGGCCCCAUCAGAAGGCAACUUUUGGUGGGGGGCACAGACCAGGGGGUGGCGACUGUUUACUAAAAACACAGGGCUCUGCGAAGUCGUAAGACGACGUAUAGGGUCUGACGCCUGCCCGGUGCUGGAAGGUUAAAAGGAGGGGUGCAAGCUCUGAAUUGAAGCCCCAGUAAACGGCGGCCGUAACUAUAACGGUCCUAAGGUAGCGAAAUUCCUUGUCGGGUAAGUUCCGACCUGCACGAAUGGCGUAACGACUUCCCCGCUGUCUCCAAUGUAGACUCAGCGAAAUUGAAUUGCCUGUUAAGAUGCAGGCUUCCCGCGGUUAGACGGAAAGACCCCGUGCACCUUUACUACAGCUUCACACUGGCAUUAGGUCAGACGUGUGCAGGAUAGGUGGUAGGCUUUGAAACUCGGACGCCAGUUCGGGUGGAGCCUCCCUUGAGAUACCACCCCUGUCUGUCUUGAUGUCUAACCGCGGUCCGUUAUCCGGAUCCGGGACCCUGUGUGGCGGGUAGUUUGACUGGGGCGGUCGCCUCCUAAAGAGUAACGGAGGCGCGCGAUGGUU
rnacentral:rRNA from 1 species